rnacentral:rRNA from 1 species
CUACGGGGCGCACCAGUAAGGAAUAUUGCGCAAUGGAGGCAACUCUGACGCAGCCAUGCCGCGUGCAGGAAGAAGGCCUUAUGGGUCGUAAACUGCUUUUAUUUAGGAAUAAACCCCCGAACGUGUUCGGGGCUGAAGGUACUAAACGAAUAAGCACCGGCUAACUCCGUGCCAGCAGCCGCGGUAAUACGGAGGGUGCAAGCGUUAUCGGAUUUAUUGGGUUUAAAGGGUGCGCAGGCGGGCUAUUAAGUCAGUGGUGAAAUCCCGGGGCUCAACUCCGGAACUGCCAUUGAUACUGAUAGUCUUGAGUUUGGUUGAAGUGGGCGGAAUGUAGCAUGUAGCGGUGACAUGCAUAGAUAUGCUACAGAACACCAAUCGCGAAGGCAGCUCACUAAGCCAAAACUGACGCUCAUGCACGAAAGCGUGGGGAUCAAACAGGAUUAGAUACCCUUGUAGUC